rnacentral:misc_RNA from 1 species
GUACCCUCAAGCUUUGCUUGGUGUUGGGCGUCUGUCCCGCUUUAUGCGUGGACUCGCCCCAAAGUCAUUGGCAGCGGUCGUGCCAGCUUCUCGCGCAGCACAUUUGCGUUUCUUGAAGUUUGGUGGAUUAGCAUCCAGUAAGCUCUUUUAUG